ensembl:lncRNA
GUUACCCUCCUAGAUACUGUUCCCCACCAAGCCUGCAAUUUCCGGACUGCCUCAGCCCCAUGGACUCUGCUGCUUUCCCCCUCCUGGAUUUCCCCCCUCUUGGACUCUGUUGUGUUCCUGUUUGUUUGUUCAUGGAUUUUCCCCAGCCUGUUUUCCCCUCGGUUGUCGGUUUCCCCAUAUUCCAGUUCUGUGUGUCUGCGCUUGGGUUCUCCUGCUUCCCUCAUCGUAACAGUGAGGAUGACUCCUGCUCCUGUCAUCUCUAAGCUCCUCACACAUCUUUACCUGCACAUGAGGAAAAUCACUCCUGUAGAAUGCAGAUGUUCAGAGGGAGAUGAUGCCACAUCUGGUCCAGCUGAUGGAAGGUCUUGAAGUUCUCUGACUGGCCUCGACUGAAGAUGGUCGUCUCACUGGAUUUAAGGUUCAGAUGCUCAGUAACAAACUCCACCAAUGAGCCAACAGGGAAGCUUUAGGUUUAUUAAAUGUUGCUAUGAAGGUAUCGCUGUUUUUCUUUGUGAAUGCAAUGUGCUCCAACUGAAACUUGAAUUAGAACUUAGAAGUAAAUCCUUCCAUCUGAAAGGAUUUAGUUGCAUUAAUAACCUCAUAACAUUCUAAUUUUUAUUCCAGUCUUGGUUGGAAAUAGAAUCUCUGUAUUGAUUCAGAUAAAAACUGAACUUCACAGCAUGUUG